GAUGAACGCUGGCGGCGUGCUUAACACAUGCAAGUCGAACGAGAAAUGUAGACGGAAACCUUCGGGCGGAAGCCUUCAUUUCGAUUGGCGGACGGGUGAGUAACGCGUGGGUAACCUGCCUCAUCCAGGGGGAUAACAGUUUGAAACGACUGUUAAUACCGCAUCAGACCACAUCAUCGCAUGAUGCGGGGGUAAAAACUUCGGUGGUAAGAGAUGGACCCGCGUUCGAUUAGCCAGUUGGCGGGGUAACGGCCCACCAAAGCGACGAUCGAUAGCCGAUCUGAGAGGAUGACCGGCCACAUUGGGACUGAGACACGGACCAAACUCCUACGGGAGGCAGCAGUGGGGAAUAUUGCACAAUGGGGGAAACCCUGAUGCAGCGACGCCGCGUGAGUGAAGAAGUACUUCGGUAUGUAAAGCUCUAUCAGCAGGGAAGAAAAUGACGGUACCUGAGUAAGAAGCCCCGGCUAACUACGUG
rnacentral:rRNA from 1 species